GCUUACGGCCAUACCACCCUGAACACGCCCGAUCUCGUCCGAUCUCGGAAGCUAAGCAGGGUCGGGCCUGGUUAGUACUUGGAUGGGAGACCGCCUGGGAAUACCAGGUGCUGUAAGCUU
rnacentral:rRNA from 1 species